GAUUUUGUCGAAGACGACGCAGAGCUCAGCACGGGCCAGUAUGUGGAUGGGCCAAACGGCAAGAUUCGCCUCGCGGCCAAGUGGGCCGCGGCAGCCAAGGACCUCAACAGGAGCGGCCCAGACGUCAAAACCGGACCACAGUCGAGAUAAGUGUAGCAACGUACUGCGCAGAAACAUAGGGCGAUCAGGGACGAUUCUCUACUGUGUGUUGCGUUCAUUUCAGGCCUUCUUUGGUUUACGUUCGAGAGCGGGGCAGGCGUAUGCAGAUCAAACGACCUAUCUACGAGGUACUAGAGGCGGGGAGGUCAUGGAGGUAGAAGAUCUGAUCCCAAACGCCAUUUAAGCGCGCUGCCUGCGGCUAACCGGCACCAUCAGUGCUAGUGGCAACGUGGGUGUCGCUUCGUCAGGCCCAAUCUCACCAACCCCGCCCGCCCAACUGCAAUAACCACGGGGGUGCCAGUUCGAGCACGAGCAGCUGGAGCAGUGCGGCUGCAGGCCCGUCAUGGGCAGGUGCUGGAGGUAGUGGCAGUGGCGGGGCGAGUGCUGCUGCGUCGUGGGCGCCUGGGUCGCGAGACCCAAACAGCAGUCCACCACGCUCACGGCCUCGCCUAGGGAGCCCUACGAGCGUCAACAGAAUCGCUAAGCCGGCGAAUGCACAUGCUCUGCGUUCAGAAAUCUCUGAGAAGCUGAAUGUGCUCCACGUAACAUUGGCAGACCUCCUUGAGUCUAUCGGGCAGCUCUGUGCCUCUGUCCAGGGAUCGGUCUCUGCUUCUGCAUUCUACUCCUUAUCUUUGGCAGAAGCCCUACAAGAUCUGCAAAGAUCAUGCAUUGAGAACACGUCAGCUAUAGUGGCGUUAUCAUCUGCCAUCUAUGCUAAGGUGGCUCGGACAGCUGUGCAACAGCAGGAACCUGGCCAGCCAGCCCAAGCCUCAACUGUACAGUAGAGGUGCCGGAUGGGCGGGUAAAGAACAAAAUACAGACCCGAGUGCUGAAAUCGCGUUUAAACGAUCCACCCGGCCCAAAUGGUUGAUAAACUAUGCACGCGACCCUUUCGCGUUGCGGUCGGGUGAGCCAGACCCGACGUACGCUAUGCGGUCCAUCUCGGGUUAGCGUGGACCUACUACUAUUCGCCGCGACCCGUCGGACCCGUGCAGCACUACUGAGCAUCGACGAAAUGACCUUAAAUGUAUGUGAAGUAGCGCCAUCGGCCGACAGUCUAAAACCGCGUCAUUCUACGUGGAACCGUUCGUGGGAGCGCAAGGACUGCGCUGACUGAAUCUCCAGUCAAGAGGCUUGUCGGACCAACCCUCCCUCAUGUUUCAGGUUAGCUCAGCGGUCAAAGGCGUCGACUUCACACCAGAAGAAUCCGAGGAUCCAAGGAACGAGUCCCAGCCCCAGCCGAUACAAGCUGCGCAGUGUGUCUCCCCAGCAUUGUAACACAGAUGUGCACCCCAUAAUUUUUAGGGGGACCCCCGCUCUAACCGGGCGCCAAUCGGACAGUCCGACAAGAGGCACUGGGCGUCAAUCGGACAGUCCGACGGGAGGUCUCAAAUUUCAAACGUUUUGGAACAUAAAUGGAGCCAUCCGAAACUGUUCGAAACACAUUAUUAGUCGGAGUAAAAACGGAGCAAGUCCGCUUCGGAUGUCUUUCGGAGCUGUUCGUUUUCACAAGGUGAGCAGGCAGCAGCCGACGUUAUCGCUCUCCUUCUCCAGCGGCAGCAGUUAGCCCCUGGCGUCUCCGCUCUACUUCUCCAGCAGCGGCAGCAGGUACCAGCUGGCGGUGUCGCUCUCCUUCGCCAGCGGCAGCAGCUGCAACUCGAAGUGAUCGCUUGCCUCCAGCGGUGGCAUCAACUAGCCGGCGUCAUCGCUCCCCUUCUCCAGCGGCAGCAGCUACAAGCCGUCGUAAUCGCUCUCCAGCGGCGGUGGCAGGGUCACCAAGCACUUCGCAGCGCCCAUCCUGAUCCAGGAACACGCCCUGCCGCUAUUCUCCAUCCAGAUCCGGCUCGCGGUCCUCUUCUCGGUCCGCUUCCCCUCCACGCAGAAAGAGGGGUAGGUCCAAGGGAUCAAAAAAUAAAAAGAAGCAGCCUGUGUGCCAGAUUUGCUUGGGGAAUAGGGGUCCCUACGUUUCAACAGCUUGUGGGCACCUUUUCCAUGAAGCGUGUUUGAGACGCUUCAUGGAGGCAAGAAAUGAAGUUUAUGUUUUUCAGAAGACUCGCCCUAUCUGCUCUAAAAAAUACACCUCAUGCCACGCAGUUUACCUGUAAAUUUUUCUUCGUUGCAUUUUGACUCUAACAUGGGCUCUUAGCUUGACCUUUAAUCCUUGUGUAUUUUUCUUUAAGACUGCUCGUGAAAAUCUUUGGUUGGCAUUUGCUUAGCGUCGCAUUGUACUGUGCCCAAUUUUUUAUGGCAGUUUUUUUUUGUUUUAGUCUUCUUUUUAUAUUUACAUAUACAUCUGUUGAGUUUGGGUAGUCAGGCUUUAUCAGAUAAAGCCCUAGCCUACCCAAACAAUAGUGUGUGAAUUUUAAUUUGCUAGUUGGGUUUCUUCGUUGAAGCUCUAUGCAAUUAAGUCUGACGACCUGUUUGUAUAGUGUUUUCUCAGUUUUGAUUAAUGUUCUGACUAGUUCAAUCGAGGUGUUACCUCUGAGUUGUUUUUAAUAAACCUUUAUAUUUUGCUAAAGACCAUUUUGAAGGCUACUUGAAACUUCACUUAUCACUGCCUAUACCUAAAGUAAUGGUGCUGUAUUUUCUUUCCUGAUUUUCAAGGAGCGUAUUUCAACUUUUCCUACUUCGUUACUCGCUUGGAAAUGGUACCCUUAUUAGCCUGUGGGGGCAACGCGCCUAAGACAGCAAGUCAAGACUAUUGGUGUCACUCCAAUGUGACAUGCUUUUAAUGUGGCAGAAGAACUUGUACUGAAAUGUUCCCUUAGGAUCCUCCCUGACUAUGAUAUACAACCUUUGUCAAACACAAACUAGAGUUUAUCAUUCUGGCAUGGUAGGCUUGC